rnacentral:rRNA from 1 species
AUUGAACGCUGGCGGCAGGCUUAACACAUGCAAGUCGAGCGGGGGAAGGUAGCUUGCUACCGGACCUAGCGGCGGACGGGUGAGUAAUGCUUAGGAAUCUGCCUAUUAGUGGGGGACAACAUCUCGAAAGGGAUGCUAAUACCGCAUACGUCCUAAGGGAGACAGCAGGGGAUCUUCGGACCUUGCGCUAAUAGAUGAGCCUAAGUCGGAUUAGCUAGUUGGUGGGGUAAAGGCCUACCAAGGCGACGAUCUGUAGCGGGUCUGAGAGGAUGAUCCGCCACACUGGGACUGAGACACGGCCCAGACUCCUACGGGAGGCAGCAGUGGGGAAUAUUGGACAAUGGGGGGGACCCUGAUCCAGCCAUGCCGCGUGUGUGAAGAAGGCCUUAUGGUUGUAAAGCACUUUAAGCGAGGAGGAGGCUACUCUAGUUAAUACCUAGGGAUAGUGGACGUUACUCGCAGAAUAAGCACCGGCUAACUCUGUGCCAGCAGCCGCGGUAA